rnacentral:rRNA from 1 species
UAAGGAAUAUUGGUCAAUGGACGCAAGUCUGAACCAGCCAUGCCGCGUGAAGGAUGAAGGUCCUCUGGAUUGUAAACUUCUUUUAUCUGGGACGAAAACGGGAUUUUUAUCUCAAUUGACGGUACCAGAGGAAUAAGCACCGGCUAACUCCGUGCCAGCAGCCGCGGUAAUACGGAGGGUGCGAGCGUUAUCCGGAUUUACUGGGUUUAAAGGGUGCGUAGGUGGGCUUAUAAGUCAGUGGUGAAAUCUCCGAGCUUAACUUGGAAGCUGCCGUUGAUACUAUAGGUCUUGAAUUAUCUGGAGGUAAGCGGAAUAUGUCAUGUAGCGGUGAAAUGCUUAGAUAUGACAUAGAACACCAAUUGCGAAGGCAGCUUACUACAUAUAAAUUGACGCUGAGGCACGAAAGCGUGGGGAUCAAAC